GCCAGGUAUGGUGGCACAGGCCUGUAAUCCCAGCAGCCUGGGAGGCUGAGGCAGGAGGAUCACAGGUUCAAAACCAGCCUCAGCAAAAAGCGAGACACUAAGCAACUCAGUGAGACCCUGUCUCUA
rnacentral:sRNA from 1 species